rnacentral:rRNA from 1 species
AUUGAACGCUGGCGGCAGGCCUAACACAUGCAAGUCGAGCGAGCGGCGGACGGGUGAGUAAUAUCUGGGAAACUGCCUGCUGGAGGGGGGUAACUACUGGAAACGGUAGAUAAUACCGCCUACAAUCAGAUGUGCCCAGAUGGGAUUAGCUGGUAGGUGGGGUAACGGCUCACCUAGGCGACCAUCCCUAGCUGGUCUGCGAGGAUGACCAGCAACACUGGAAGUGAGAACCGGUCCGGACUCCUACGGGAGGCAGCGGUGGGGAAUAUUGGACAUUGGGCGCAAGCCUGAUGCAGCCAUGCCGCGUGUGUGAAGAGGGCCUUCGGGUUGUAAAGCACGUUCAGCGGGGAGGCGUUACCCGCAGAAGAAGCACCGGCUAACUCCGUGCCAGCAGCCGCGGUAAUAC